UACGUAGGGGGCAAGCGUUGUCCGGAUUUAUUGGGCGUAAAGAGCGUGUAGGCGGCCAGGUAGGUCCGCUGUGAAAACUCGAGGCUCAACCUCGAGAUGUCGGCGGAAACCAUCUGGCUAGAGUCCGGAAGAGGAAAGUGGAAUUCCCGGUGUAGCGGUGAAAUGCGCAGAUAUCAGGAAGAACACCAAUGGCGAAAGCAGCUUUCUGGGACGGUACUGACGCUGAGACGCGAAAGCGUGGGGAGCGAACAGG
rnacentral:rRNA from 1 species